rnacentral:rRNA from 1 species
UAGGAACCUGCCCACUAGAGGGGGAUAACCAAGGGAAACUUUGGCUAAUACCGCAUACACUCUAAGGAGUAAAGUUGCCGCAAGGUGACGCUAGAGGAGGGGCCUGCGUCCGAUUAGCUAGUUGGAGAGGUAAGAGCUCGCCAAGGCGAAGAUCGGUAACUGGUCUGAGAGGACGACCAGUCACACUGGGACUGAGACACGGCCCAGACUCCGUACGGGAGGCAG